rnacentral:rRNA from 1 species
GACGAACGCUGGCGGCGUGCUUAACACAUGCAAGUCGAACGGAAAGGCCCUGCUUUUGUGGGGUGCUCGAGUGGCGAACGGGUGAGUAACACGUGAGUAACCUGCCCUUGACUUUGGGAUAACUUCAGGAAACUGGGGCUAAUACCGGAUAGGAGCUCCUGCUGCAUGGUGGGGGUUGGAAGUUUCGGCGGUUGGGGAUGGACUCGCGGCUUAUCAGCUUGUUGGUGGGGUAGUGGCUUACCAAGGCUUUGACGGGUAGCCGGCCUGAGAGGGUGACCGGCCACAUUGGGACUGAGAUACGGCCCAGACUGCUACGGGAGGCAGCAGUGGGGAAUAUUGCACAAUGGGCGGAAGCCUGAUGCAGCAACGCCGCGUGCGGGAUGACGGCCUUCGGGUUGUAAACCGCUUUCGCCUGUGACGAAGCGUGAGUGACGGUAAUGGGUAAAGAAGCACCGGCUAACUACGUG